GUAAAUGUGUUCUUCAAUUUGUUUGAUCUCAGCCCUCUUGGAUGCGCCUUUUCGAGUCGUCUUCAGCAGCCAAAGAUUUGGUUAAGAUAGUAUCAAGGUUGCUAUGUGUCUAAAGAAAGAAAAGAGCUUGAUGAUUAUCUUGGAUUGAAGAGUAGUUGAAACUUGGAAACCGCAUAUUCAUUUGUUAUUGAAACUUAUUUAAAGUAGCUCAGUUUUGU
rnacentral:misc_RNA from 1 species